rnacentral:rRNA from 1 species
GACGUAGGGCGCAAGCGUUUGUCCGGAUUUAUUGGGCGUAAAGAGCUCGUAGGCGGCUUGUUGCGUCGGCUGUGAAAACCCGUGGCUUAACUGGCGGCCUUGCAGCCGAUACGGGCGGGCUGGAGCUCGGUAGGGGAGACUGGAAUUCCUGGUGUAGCGGUGAAAUGCGCAGAUAUCAGGAGGAACACCAAUGGCGAAGGCAGCUCGCUGGAACGGUACUGACGCUGAGGCGCGAAAGCGUGGGGAGCGAACAGG